UUUUAGAAUUACUGAUUCCAAGAUAUGUAAGUAAAUUUUAACUUGUCUUUAAGGGACAUGCAAUAGCAAAGAAGUGCCAUUUCAAAUCUUACAGCAUUUUAACCAUUUAGAAUAUGAUAUCCUUGGCAUGUGAAGCAUGAAACUUGCACUUGCAAUUAUCAUUAAUUUUACGUAAACAAAGUGUCGUAUAUGCUUUUAUAUGGUUGUUAUUUGUAAAUUGCAUAUCUGGCAAAUUGCUUCUUUUAUGAUCUAUAAUGUUGGUAGCAAAGAGCCAAGACCACUAAAUUCUUUAAUUUUACUAAUUGUUAACUGGAAUUUUUUUUUCUUUUUCAUCUUUCUGUUCAGAGUCAUUUUUGUUGAUGUCCUCUUCUUCAAUUAUUUUUACUUUCU
rnacentral:misc_RNA from 1 species